rnacentral:other from 1 species
AAGAUCCUAUAUUGUUCGGAAACAGAACUGAGGUUUUGCCCAACAUUUUCAAGUCGGGAGUCCGAGUUUCACGCGCAGCUUGCAUACCUCGUUAAGCGGGAGGUCGCAUUAAACGCGGAACAGGACACCCACGUUACCAAGAGGUGGGCUCGGAAACUGAGGAUGGUAACGGCAAUGAUGGGAUCCAC